AAAUGAUGUUGACUCAUCAGUAGAUUCCUUUCCUAAUACUGAUGACAGUGGAGAUGUUUUCCCAUCUUCUGCAUUGGCUAGUGCAAAUACGUUAACAACAGCCUCUAAUGUAGAUCACCUCAUUACUGAUUUGCCAGGCACGCCAAUGCUGUCAUCUCAUCAACAAACUUCUCGUUUCGGAAAUGGUAAGUUAUAUUUCAUUCGUGUUAUAGAGCACUCAUUAGUCAUUACUGCUUGUUCCCAUUAAUUGAAUAACACUUUCUUUCGUUUUUAGAUGGCGUUACAAAAAAAACCAUUCACGAUAGACGUAGUUGCUUCGGAUCGCAAAAUAAAAGCUGCAGCACUUGUAAGAAGUACGUUUCAGCGACCCAUCGCAACUUUCGGUCCACACAAAAGUUGUUCUGUGCACGUUGUCUCCCUCGUGUUGCCAGUGUCGUACGUCAACUAGAAAAAAGCAAACGAAAACUAGCAGCAGUGCGGAAACAGCUUAAACGUACACAACAACUUUUGAAAGAGUCACUGGAGAGAGAGAACGAAACGAAGUCAAUUAUACGUGCACUGAAAUCGAACGUUGCAACAUUAAAGAAGGAUACACUGGAGGCUUCUAUUGCCAUUCUCCCACGUCAGAACCGAAUUCGUUUAGAUAAUGAUUUCACACGGUACCUAACGACCAAACGCUGCCUGUGAUUUGACCAAAAAUUGAACAACGAAAAAUAUUUACAUUACAACAUUUAGUUACUUACUUUUUUAAUUCCAUGUUUUGGAACAAUCGUAGAUCCUUUUAUAUUCUAACUUUUUUUACUGUCUGAAACCAAUAUUUGACAUUUUGUAUUAAUCAUUACCAGUUUGAAUACAUUCAUUUCUUAGA